rnacentral:rRNA from 1 species
UACGGGGGGGGCAAGCGUUGUUCGGAAUUACUGGGCGUAAAGGGCGCGUAGGCGGCCUUCUAAGUCAGACGUGAAAUCCCCAGGCUUAACUUGGGAACUGCGUCUGAUACUGGGAGGCUUGAGUGCGGGAGAGGGAUGUGGAAUUCCUGGUGUAGCGGUGAAAUGCGCAGAUAUCAGGAAGAACACCCGUGGCGAAGGCGGCUCUCUGGAACGCAACUGACGCUGAGACGCGAAAGCGUGGGGAGCAAACAGG